UACGUAGGGGCAAGCGUUGUCCGGAAUCAUUGGGCGUAAAGCGCGUGUAGGCGGACUGGAAGGUCUGGUGUGAAAGCCCGGGGCUCAACCCCGGAGGGUCACUGGAAACCGACAGUCUCGAGUCCGGAAGAGGAGAGUGGAAUUCCUGGUGUAGCGGUGGAAUGCGCAGAUAUCAGGAGGAACACCUAUGGCGAAGGCAGCUCUCUGGUACGUGACUGACGCUGAGACGCGAAAGCGUGGGGAGCGAACAGG
rnacentral:rRNA from 1 species